GCCUUUUUUCAUACUUCAGAAUCAGCUUUAAUCAGGCUUUAUAGAUGUGUGUUUUCCUUCUAUUUUCUGUUUUAGACAAAUAGUUCAUAACUAUAUCUUUGUAUGUAGAGGAGAGGGAGAAAUUCAAGAGAUCUUUCUUAUGAUUCUUUACCAGACAUCCCUUUUCUAUUCCUUAAAAAUAAUUAGAAUACCUUGCCUACUGGGAAAAGUACUAAUUGAACUUAUCUGCCAUCGCUGUGCCAUGUCACAGAGCAAAAAAUCCCUGCUAAUGGUUCCUGAAACGCCAAUCUGAGGUAGGUGGCGUUAGAUGAUUUACAGAAGACAAACAUCUUUGUAGAUUAAUUUCUUUUUUUCAGACUAUGCUGAUGUACUUUGAACUAGUCAUGGGGUAGUUAAUAAUGUCAUUCACUUCAUUAAAACCCAAAGUUCUCAUCUGUUAUAAAUAGUAACCAAAGUACAUAUAUGAGAGCAAAAGACAUGCCGUCUAUAACGCCAUCUGCUUACUAUCACAGACUGCUCUGAAAUUCAGCUUUAAAAUGGGAUAUGGACUUUGCAAGGAAUUGUGCUAAGCUACACUUUUCUGGUAACAUGGGAAAAAAAGCUUACUUUCAUAUAGCUAAAUUAAAAAAAGAAAAACACACACAAAAAAAAACCCCAGCAAACAACUAAACAUCAGUUUGUAGUUCUUUUAUCAGAUAUGUCGUCGUCCCAGCUUGCUAAAAGACCAGCUACUGGCUGCAUACAUUGUGCAAACUGAAGGUUCUAGACUUGGGGAUCCACUGGGAACCCACAUGGUGCCUGUACCACAAACUGCAGCUGCUCCCUGAUGCCAGGAGGGCCCUCUACAUCCAAACAAGAUAAGCCCGUCAAGGAUCAGCGUAAGCUGUUCCUUGUCCUGUUUUGGUUGUAGUGCAGCAAGAUAGCUCACACUGAAAAAGAGAGAUCUGUUUAUGGAGAAGUGGUUGCCGUGUGGUCUGAAAUCAUGUUUCUUGUUACUGGAACUCCCCACGUCAACUAAGCUGCUAAUCACAAACUAAAUCAAACAUGACAGCUACCUCCAUUUCUCAGGUCUUCGUGAUUCCUCCUGCUCCCAGAAGGCAUUUACCAGUGUACAAAGAUGAAACCUACAUACUCUCUGGACUGUGAAAUGUAAUGACACAGACCUGUGAAUUCUUCAAUCAAGCCCAACAGACAAACUGCAAUUGAUUUAAGACCUGUACAUAAACUGGGACAAGUAACAGAUUCAUGGAAAUCUGGCUGGGCUAUUCAGGAAGACUUCAAA